GCCCGGUUAGCUCAGAAGGUAGAGCGCGGGACUUUUAAUCCUGAGGUCGAGGGUUCAAGUCCCUCAUCGGGCG
rfam:Daphnia pulex DAPPTscaffold_480_Cont9751, whole genome shotgun sequence.